rnacentral:tRNA from 1 species
GAAAUAUAAAUAAUUGAACUUCUAAUUCAAAAUAAUAUAAUUAAAUUAAAUUAUAAUAUUUCU